UUAAAUGUAGAAGUGUCCAUUGGUGCUUUGUGUAUAGCAGAAUUCCAUUAAGAACUCUUGGCUUACCAAUAUUAUUAAAUGCAACUUUUGGCAUUCAAAGGAAAGAGAAAACAAGCGUCUGUACCACAAGCAAGGAUCUGAGCAACUUAACGUUCAUUGGCUGUCUAAAUCACGUGAGCUAAAUGCAAGUUUUUUCUAUCUUGGCAAUUUACUGCCUUUUUGGCAAGCUAACUCGCUAGGCAAAAAAACAAUUUGCAUUUUUAUAUUUGUUUUAAAAUACUAUUAUAACACAAUGAGUGGGUACCAGGAAUUUUAUUUUCAUUUUUUUUAAUGAUAGCAAUGCUUAGUGAAUUUGUAUAGGUUUAAUAUGUAUAGGUUUAACAUAUUUUUACUUAACAAAUAUCAUUUAUAAACAGCAACAAUGGUCGAAAAAAUUUUAUUGAAAAGAAAUUAUGUCGAUUUUUAUUUCUGCAAAGGCUUUAUUUGUUCAUUAAAUAGAAUAUGCUUCUUUGAAUGUAUAUACGGAUAGAUUUCCAAUAACUACCACCCAGGACGUUAAUUAAUCUCUAAAUUGUUUGAAUAAUCUUGAUUUUUAUAUUGCUGUGUGUAGUGAUCUAAAACACCUUAAUAUCUAUUUUUAGCAGAUGUAAAAUGCAUGCACUGCUGUGAUUUAAGAUAUUUAUAUAUAAUAUAAAUAUGUAUAGAAUGCAUAUUUAGAAUUACAAUAAGCUAAUAAGAAGAAAACUAGAAAUAUGAGAAUUUUUAAGUUUCAUUGCAAUUAAAAACAUGAAUCAGUAAGAGCAAAAAUACAAUUUUAUUGCAUGGAUCCUUCAUAAAAUAUGUGGUCUAAAAAUAUUAACCCUUUUUGAAACAAAAUGAAAUGUUGAGUUUGGUUUUUUAAUUACAAAGCGCUGAGAAUAGAAACUAAAACGUAAUAUAUAAUUGCUUAUAAUUCUUUUUGGAUUAAUAAAUCAAUUUACCUUAACGUUUUUUUGAAUUCAAAAGGCAUAUUUUAAUAAGUUUUAAUAAAGUUGGUAGCCUCCAGAAGCUACGAACCUUGUUUCAGAUGCAUAAGUUGGAGGAAAAUCUCAUCGCCCUUCUCAUUACUCAUGAGUUGAGAGUUUUUAAAUGUGAAUUAUUCUGAAAGUAUAUUCAUUCAUAUUACUUUCAACAAAAGUAUUUUUGUAAAAUGAUUUCAGCAGCAAGGAUCGUAAAUUACUUUGUAGCUGACUCUGUUGUAAAUAACUGACCUUAUAUUAGACCUUAUAUACUGACCUUAUAUAUUUUUGCAACUUAUUUUUUACAAAAUGCAUUGCUCUGACAGAAUUUCAAUUUGUUCCUAAACUCUGAUAAUUAGGCAUUAAGAACAACAAUUUUUAAGACCAGUUAAGAUUCAUCAGGUGGUUUUUAAAACAAAUGAAUUUGAUUCCUUGAAAAUGUUACUAUACUCUGUUUCACCCUAACUAUUCAGCAGUAGUGUAUAUUCUAGGCAUGCCGAAUCGCAGUCGUCGUCAGGGGAACAGGGUUACUUUAAAGUAUAAAGUUACUAGAAAUGCAGAUCGUUGGCGAAACUUUAUCUCGCAAAUUUUUCGCCAAAUAGUAAAUAUUUAUUUACUUUAUCAUAUUAUCACUUUAUCGGAGAAUUAAUUGUUUCCUUAUUUUCAUUAUUUUUUCAAUAUUAUUGACACAUUAUUUUAAUAAAUCAUUAACGUUAUUUCAUUUCGUUUCACCGUUUCUCAAAAGAAAACAAUAUAUCUUUGAAUAUUCUGUGAAGCGUAGUUCGGCUAAUGUUUUUCGAAAAGAUAUCUGUAUCAUUGUUCACAUCUUCUAAAACUUUAUCUAAUGUUGGAAUCUCAUUUCUGCGAAAAAAAUGCAUGGAUUUUUCGUCAAAUACAGAAUAAUGUAAAAUCAUCAUAUUUUACAAGACCUGAAUGUUUAUCUACUGAGCCUGGUCGCUUCUUUCCAGGGGUACUUAAAGGAUGCCUUUAUUUCUUUUUUCGAAAGGAAAAUUGUUAAUUGCGAAUCAUCUGUAAGAUGCGAAAUUUUAUCAACGAUUUGAUUGAUAGAAUCUUAAGGGUUUUCUCGGAGUCGAGAAUAAACAUUUAAUAUGUUUUUACAUGUUGCACUUUUUGUUGGUUUCACUCGUCUUGAAGGUGUGCACAGCAUAGUCGGUGAAAACACUUUCUCUUUUUCAAACAUUUUAGAAGUGAAUAGAAAUGACGAAUCGAAUAAAUAUUCACCAAACAAAACUAAUAACUACUAAUGCGAUUAAUAGUAUCAAAAAUAUCAGCUGCUAAAAAAGCGAGAAUAAAAAAGUACGAAAGAUGAUAAUGGUUGCGAACAGAAUGAAGUUGAAUUGGCGGAGACGUAAAAGAAAAGCGCGCCAAAUAUUGACCUUGAAGACCGGUUCUAGCCAAAGUGGAAAAUCUUUUAGUUUUAUUCGUUCGCUUUAUUUACAAAAUAUUUAACAUAUAAGCACUUCUAACUUGAGAAUAAUUUUAAAUACAUAUUGAUAAAAAAAGGAUUUCUGCAAUUUAUGAUAUUAUUUGAUAAAUUUCUGCGCAUUUUAACUAUUUUAAAGUCGGAAUUGAUGGGGAACUCCUUCCCAACGCGGAGCGUCACAUUUUCUACCUUUUACAAUACUGCCAAGUUAGGGUGAAACAGAGUAUAGUAAUCCAGUACGGACAGCUUGCCGAGCUUCUAGUGACUUCAUAUGAGCAAGAGUGUGUAAGAACGAUUCUGUGAUCUAGACGUGGCAUCCAACUGUGAGAGGUGUCCUAAUCUGUAACAGUCUACCUGAAGAGGCACAAAAAAUGUGUCUGGAAAUAAAAUGGUGUUCACCAGAAAGAAAUGAGUAAUUAUCUGAAGAGAAUUAUAGCAGUUAUCAAAUGAAAAAAGCCAUUAUAGUAUUAUUUUUUAAAAAUCCAUAUUAAAUUUUUUUCUACAGAUGGGGAAUGAAUACUGCACGAAUGCAAUUGAAUUCCGUUCACACAUUGUCUGAGUUUAAUAAGUUAUUUGCUGACCCUUCCAAAAAUAUUAAAGACGUAUAUCUUCCAACACCUUAAGUAGCCGCUAUUCAGUGGGAAUUCAGGAAGGAAUUUGUGUCUCCAGAUGCUUCAACCAAUGUAUUCCUCGCUUCCUUCACCACAGCUUGGGCACGCAUCAAGUUGUAUGAUGAAAUGGAGAAGUUAGGAAAGAGUGUUCUGUAUCACGAUACAGAUUCGAUCAUUUAUGCAAGCGAUGGCACGAACGAUCCUCCCUUGGGAAACUUUCUUUGAGAGUUCACGGAUGAACUGGAUGGUGACACUAUAACAACUUUUGUUUCUGGUGGACCAAAAAAUUAUGCCUUCAAAACAAAAAGUGGAGAAACAUGCUGCAAAGUUAAAGGCUUCACUUUAAAUUCCAUGAAUGUUAAAAAAUUAAAUUUUGAAGCCAUGGAGGCAUUGAUACAAAAUAUAGAUCUCGAAACAACAAUUCCUCUUGAAACCCCAAAUAAAAUCACCAGAGAUGCCAAAAGAAGAAAAGUUAUUAAUAAAAAAGAAAUAAAGGCAUACAGGAUGGUGUAUGAUAAGAGAAAUGUAUGGAUAUGAUGGUGUAUGAUAAGAGAUACAAAAAGACUAUUCCACACUUCCAUAUGGGUAUUAAGAACAAAAGUGAAAAUACCAUUUACUUUGUUUCAUAUCCAUAUGGUGUUUGUUCACUUGUUAAUAAUAUU